rnacentral:rRNA from 1 species
GGAGGCUCGAACCGGGUAGCGUUUAAAAGCUAUCGGAUGACCUGUGGAUAGGGGUGAAAAGCCAAUCGAACUCGGAUAUAGCUGGUUCUCCUCGAAAUAGCUUUAGGGCUAGCCUUGUUUUAGAUUACAGGAGGUAGAGCACUGAAUAGUCUAGGGGAAGUAAUUCUACCGAAACUUAUCAAACUCCGAAUGCCUGAAAAUCGAUGAACAGGAGUCAGACCAUGAGGGAUAAGCUUCAUAGUCAAAAGGGAAACAGCCCAGACCACCAGUUAAGGUCCCAAAAUACAGAUUAAGUGGGAAAGGAUGUAAUACUACUCAGACAACCAGGAUGUUGGCUCAGAAGCAGCCACCAUUGAAAGAGUGCGUAAUAGCUCACUGGUCAAGUGGUAAUGCGCCGAAGAUGAACGGGGCUAAAUCUGAUACCGAAACUGUGGGAUA